GAUGAAGAACGUAGCGAAAUGCGAUACGUAAUGUGAAUUGCAGAAUUCAGUGAAUCAUCGAAUCUUUGAACGCAUAUUGCGCUCUCUGGUAUUCCGGAGAGCAUGCUUGUUUGAGUAUCAGUAAACACCUCAACUUCCAUAUCUUUUUUGAAAUGGGAGUUGGACUUGAGUGAUCCCAACGCUUUUCCUCACCGAAAAGUGGCGGGUUACUUGAAAUGCAGGUGCAGCUGGACUUUUCUCUGAGCUAUAAGCAUAUCUAUUUAGUCUGCCUAAAAAACAGAUUAUUACCUUUGCUGCAGCUAGCAUAAAGGAGAUUAGUUCUUGUGCUGACUGAUGCAGGAUUCACAAAGACGGCUUCGGCCGACUUUGUAAACUCGAUCUCAAAUCAAGUAAGACUACCCGCUGAACUUAAGCAUAUCAAUAAGCGGAGGA
rnacentral:misc_RNA from 1 species